AUCUCACUGUUCAAACAAAUUCAAAUUUUACAUGAGGUACUGAUGUAUUCUUAUUAACUUUUACAAUAAAUUUCAACUGCAAAAUCAUCUUUGAAACUUGAUGCACUUCCAUUUCACAUGUAUAAAUCCUUAAGAACUUGGUGAUAUUCCUCCCAUCAAACCUCCCAACUUUGUCCACUACUACUUGUAAGGCCUUAGUAGUGUUUCUAUCCUCUUUAUGUACUUGUUGCCUUUCUUUCAUAAAUUGAGCAAAUGCCAUGAAUAAAUCAUGGGCACCCAUUCUUCCUGAUAAUCCAAACCCUGGAUUUUGAUCCCCCAUUUCAACUUGUUGAAAAAUCAGUGCCUUAAGGCUCUCUCAGUGGAAGCACCAAUAUGUCAGGAUAGAGAGAGUUUGCCUUAAGAAAACGCUGAGCUUCUAGCUGUCACUAAUUAUUCAAUC
rnacentral:lncRNA from 1 species